rnacentral:rRNA from 1 species
GACGAACGCUGGCGGCGUGCUUAACACAUGCAAGUCGAACGGAAAGGCCCUGCUUUUGUGGGGUGCUCGAGUGGCGAACGGGUGAGUCACACGUGAGUAACCUGCCCUUGACUUUGGGAUAACUUAAGGAAACUGGGGCUAAUACCGGAUAGGAGCUCCUGCUGCAUGGUGGGGGUUGGAAAGUUUCGGCGGUUGGGGCUGGACUCGCGGCUUAUCAGCUUGUUGGUGGGGUAGUGGCUUACCAAGGCUUUGACGGGUAGCCGGCCUGAGAGGGUGACCGGCCACAUUGGGACUGAGAUACGGCCCAGACUCGUACGGGAGGCAGCAGUGGGGAGUAUGGCACAAUGGGCGGAAGCCUGAGGCAGCAACGCCGCGUGCGGGAUGUCGUCCUGCGGGGUGUAAACCGCUUUCGCCUGUGACGAAGCGUGAGUGACGGUAAUGGGUGAAGAAGCACCGGCUAACUACGUG